AAUCCAGCUUGCAAGAGAGUAAAAACCCCGGCUAUUACACCACUGAAGAGAGAGAAUGAGAGUAAGCCCAGCUCUCAUAUCAUCUCUCUAUCUGUGCGUGAUAGAGAGAGAAAGCUGGAGAGAUAUUUAGCAUAAGAGAGCGCGAGAGAUAGUAAACCCAAAAUCCUUCAACCCUCUCGAUCAGGUGAAAAAUGGCGCCGAAGCUCACUGCAAAACAAAAGAGAGAGUAUAUAUUAGCGAUGGCAGACUUCAAGCUUACUGACCAGUGGAAUAACAGCAUCGAAGCAUGGUGGGAAAAGCUCAAGAGUGUUGAUACUGUAAACUGGAGAAAUGAAAUGUGUGUUCUUCCUCCCGUUCCACACAUAAUCAGACAUAAGUAAUUUCAAAACCCCUACAAUUUGACAGUGCGACUAAAUAAAAGGGUAUUCUUUUUCCUCUUAUAUUUACAGGUUUGUAUUUUAUAAACAUGCUUUUGAGUUGCGUUUGCUUGUAUAUAUAUUUUUGGAUAAUGCUAUGGAGAUUAAAUUUGUAGACAAAAUACUGAAAGCUAAAUGACAUAGAAGUUGACGAUUGAUUUAUUAAUUAAACGUUGAUAAAUGUGCUCAAUCUUAUUGAUUACAUGAUAUAUCUACGUUUAAUUUUGUAUAACAUGAGUACAUUUUGGUUUAAAUAGUAUACAUUUUUGUGUUAGGUUUAUGGUAGAUUUGAGUUUUCAAUUGUGUAAGUGUGUUGAAACUUGAAAGAGAAUAAUUUGUUAAGAUAGUAUUAAAAUAGACCUAAAAAUUUGCCUUUAAUUAAAACUUAUUAUCUCAAUUCGUUCCAACAAAGCUUACACCACCCAAAAAACAACACUGAUCAAUUUGAAAAUCAAAGCUUGUUGGGAAGCUUUGGACACCUCACUUCUUUCAAGUUUGAGGUCCAGUGGCAGCUUGCCAUGUGUCCAGCGAAAAGGAAAUCUAAUCUCUGUUUUCCUUUUCUUUAUGUCACUAAAUUUCAUUUGAUGCGAUACUAUUAAAGAAAGAGUAAUGUUAGGUAGGGCCAAACUUUUUAAAUUAAAUUUGCAAACUAAAUAAUAUGGUUGUAGAUGAUUGGAUUAUUAAUUAAGUGUUAAUUACCAUGCUUGUUUUUUAUUGGGAGCCAUAUGUGUGUCGAUUGUGAUUUGUGGGGCAGUAUCAGCAUAAUAUUAUAUUCCCACGGGAGAGAUACAUUCACUAUCUCUAGAGAGUAUUAUAUUGGGAGUUUUCAAGGAGAGGGCACUCAAGGCCUGAAUGCUAAGGGAUGUGGCGGAGAGAAAUAGUGUACUUUGGAAAAUGGGUGUGAUGAAGCCAGAAUGCGAUGUCUCUUUGGAAGAUGGCUUGCGAUACGCAAUGAAAUUUGGCAUUCCACUUGAAGAGGAAUGACCUCUAGACAGUAGUGUUCGGCCAGUGGGGAAUCUCAAAUCCUUCAAAAUAGUGGACUACAAAAAAGUUGACCAAAAAUAUGUGGUAAGCAUAUGAUGCGGCAAUUUUCGACCCACCAUCACAUCGCAUAGCAAGGGGAAUGCCAGCAGCAUAUGCUUUAUGGUUACACAUUCUUUUGGCCAACGUUUUUGUAGUCCACUAUUUUGAAGGAUUUGAGAUCCCCACUGGCUGAACACUGCUAUCUAGAGGCCAUUCCUGUUCAAGUGAAAUGCCAAAUUUCAUUGCGUAUUGCAAGCCAUCCUCCAAAGAGAUAUCGCAGUCCGGCUUCAUCCCACCGAUUUUCCAAAGUACACUAUUUCUCUCUGACACAUCCCUCAGCAUUCGAGCCUUGAGUGCCUUCCUUGAAAACUCCCGAUACAAUACUCUCUCUUGAGAGUGAAUGCAUCUCUCCGGUGCAAAUAUAAUAUUGUGCUGAUACUAGCCCACAAAUCGCAGUCGUCACAUAUAUGGCUGCCAAUAAGAAACAAGCACGUUAAUAGACAUUUAAUUAAUAAUCCAACCAUCUACAACCAAAUGAUUUAAUUUGCAAAUUUGAUUUUAAAAGUUUGGUCCACCUAACAUUACUCUUUCUUUAAUAAUAUCGCAUCAAGUGAAAUUUAGUGAUAGAAAUAAAAGGAAAACAUAGAUUAGAUUUCCUUUUUGCUGUACACAUGGCAAGCUGCCAUUGAACCUCAAACUAGAAAGAGGUGAGGUGUCAAAAGCUUGGGAGAUUUAUUAUCCUACCACAACAAAGCUUUGAUUUCGAAUUGAUCAGUGUUGUUUUUUUGGUGGUUUAAGGUUGUUGUCACGAAUUGAGAUGAUAAAUUUUAAUUAAAGGCAAUUUUUUAGUUCUAUUUUAAUACCAUCUUAAAAAAUUAUUCUCUUUCAAGUUUCAACACACUUACACAAUUGAAAACCCAAAUCUACCAUAAAUCUAACACAAAAAUGUAUACUAGUAAAACCAAAAUGUACUCAUGUUAUACAAAACUAAACGUAGAUAUAUCAUGUAAUUAAUAUGAAUUAGCACGUUUAUCAAUGUUUAAGUAAUAAAUAAAUUGUCAACUUUCAUGUCAUUUAGUUUUCAAUAUUUUAUCUACAAAUUUAGUCUCCCUAGCACUAUCCAAUACUAUAUAUACAAGCAAAUGCAACUCAAAAGCAUGUUCAUAAAAUAUAAGCGGAAAAAGAAUACCCCUUCAUUUAGUCGCACUAUCAAAUUGCAAGGGUUUUGAAAUUACUUACGUUUGAUUAUGUGUGGAAUGGGGAGAAAGAACACCUCUUUCAUUUCUCCAGUCUACAGUAUCAACACUCUUGAGCUUUUCCCACCAUGCUUCGAUGUUGUUAUUCCACUGUUCAAUAAGCUUGAAGUCUGCCAUCGCUAACAUACAUUGUGAAAUUCCAUUCCCGGAUUCCAUUGUUCAAUAAUUCGUAGUUCGUAUUUUCAAGAAAUUAAUAUUAUUUUCCGUUAAUUUAGAAGCCUUAGUUAUGAAGUUUGAUUUUAUUAAAAUCCCGCGACACUAAAUAUUUUUUGAUAAAGUCCAAUCUCACGAGCAAGUAGAACUGCCCGUGAAACGAGAUUGUAACGAAGGAGAAAUUAAUAAACAAGUUUACGGGUAUUUUUGUAAAUUUAGUUUAGUCCAAGAUAUUUUGGAUGUUUGGGUUUGCCGGGGCGGGGGGGGAGCCGCGCCCUUUCUUUUUCCUACUGCGUUUUCUCUCCGAGGAGAGGGAGAGAACUCUUUCUUCCCUCUUUGUCUCAUUUUUGGUGGGGGGUUCAGGGGUUGCAGAGGGAAGGAAGUCGUCACUUCCCACCACCUCUCCCAAAUUCAUCUCGCCGUCGAUCACCAUCACAUCUUGCUUUCCUCUAUCUUCCAACCCCAUAUCCCUAUGGUAUAGAUUGACUCUACAACCCAGCUUAAAUCCAGUUGUAUAAGUUGGAGACACAUGACAACUAGAAUUGAAGGAGGGAGAGAGGGUGACAGAGAAGGCAAGGAUGAGAAAAGGAAGAAUAGGGUCAAGGAAGGUGGGUCUGAAUCAUGAAAUAAACAUGGUUUUGUAUGUUGUUAUCCAAUGGGUGGAAAGCCUUGGUAAUUAUUCUCUGACUCUCUUAAUUCCUUAUAUGGUUAUUUAUUUGGAUGCUACUAUGGGAAAUUAGUCUUAUAUGCGGUUGCUGUAUAUGUAAGUUUUUAUAUGAAUAUACUUAUAUGCUGCAAAAGCUAGUUUUAUGUGCCAAUACCUAAACCCUAGUUUGAUAUAAUACCUGAAAGUGAUAUUUUGUAUAACAUCAAUUAUUGGGUGGAGUCAAUUACCUAUCAUA